GUGCUCGCUUCGGCAGCACAUAUAUUAAAAUUAGAAAGAUACAGAGAAGAUUAGCAUGGCCCCCGGCCAAGGAUGACAUGCAAAUUUGUGAAGUGUUCCAUAUUUUC
ensembl:snRNA U6 U6 spliceosomal RNA